rnacentral:rRNA from 1 species
AGAUUGAACGCUGGCGGCAGGCCUAACACAUGCAAGUCGAGCGGUAGAGAGGUGCUUGCACCUCUUGAGAGCGGCGGACGGGUGAGUAAAGCCUAGGAAUCUGCCUGGUAGUGGGGGAUAACGCUCGGAAACGGACGCUAAUACCGCAUACGUCCUACGGGAGAAAGCAGGGGACCUUCGGGCCUUGCGCUAUCAGAUGAGCCUAGGUCGGAUUAGCUAGUUGGUGAGGUAAUGGCUCACCAAGGCGACGAUCCGUAACUGGUCUGAGAGGAUGAUCAGUCACACUGGAACUGAGACACGGUCCAGACUCCUACGGGAGGCAGCGAGUAGGGGGAAUAUUGGACAAGUGGGACGAAAGCCUGAU